rnacentral:snRNA from 1 species
AGAUUUGAGGGUGAUAUGGCUGUAACAUAGGUCACCCCAUUGAUCGCCAAGAUUGAUUUGGCUGAUCUGGCUGGGUAGAUAGGUGUCCCCUUUCUUCCUCGCUGCUCCAUUUGUGUCCCUCCUAAUGCUGCACGCUCAGUUGAAGAGGAUGAGAGGACGACCCUCUCUGAUAGAGGAGGACCAUUCUUCUGUCAAAGGCGUACACGUAUCUGGAUGGACUUCCCUGCUAGAACUUCCAAACAAGCUCAGAGAAGUUCCUCCUCGCGUCUGCACGGGUUCAGCACCACGGACAGCGCCCUCGUCGCGCGGUUCUCAACUGUGACCCCUUCGA